rnacentral:lncRNA from 1 species
GUCUCCAGGGCAGGGGCCCCCAUUCAGCCUGUUCCCAUUGCCAGUGUGAGAUGCCCAGAUGUGGGGCACCCAGGCCUGGGAUGCCCAGGCAUGGAGUAUCCAGGUGGAGAAACAUGGGGCUAAAUGAUGAUCUUGAAAAGGGCCCUCACUCGUGAGCCUUCGCCAUGUGCCAGUCACUAUGCUGAGCACCUUGCAGGAGCUUCAGGUCCAGGCCUUGGGGGUCAGCAGGGCAAGCCUGAGCCCUGUGGUGCUGUGGGAAGACUUGGUUCAAGUGACACUGAGCCUGGGACAAAGUGCGGUUGAUGGCUCUUGUUUUCCCUGGCCCUUCAGAUUGCCUUUGGGAAACCACCCAACCCUCACUCCCCUCCACCCACGUGCAUUGCAUGGGGCUAAUUCUACCCCAGGCCCUGACUCCAAGUAUGAUCACCUGAUCCAGACCUGGCCAAUCAGCCUGUUCUGUCCCCCAGGCCACAGUGAUUUGUUUAGGGAUGAUCAUGUGACCUACAGAAAGCUUCAGGAUAGUGGCUUCCUUGGGUAGGGGAGGCUGAUGGUCAGACAGGGAAGAAGCCCACAGACAGAUGCAAGUGCUGGUUAAUGUUCUGAUUCUUGUGUUGGAUGACCAGGUCUUGGGUGUUUAUUUAUAUAAAUAAACAGAGGAGAACCGUUUAUGAACCUAUGGCAAGAGGAUGGCGUGAAUAAGGGAUCAUGAUUAAUAGAAUUCAGAGACAAAGGGAGAGAAAACAAACAAAAAACACCUCUGGAACUUGUUGGAGCUCUUGGAAAAGAAAAGCUGUGAGUGGAUGUUCAAGAGGGUAACCUAGGGCCUCAUGCAUUGGGGCAUUCAGAAGUUUCGUACUGGAUCAAAAACAACGAAUGAAGCCUGCAGUGCAGAGAAAACAUUGUGAUAUGAGGGUCUUGCUGUGAUGACUGGAGCUGUGGCAGCCACCUUGUGACCAUGAGGGAAAAGCCAAGAGACUAGUUGAGAAGCCAACUGAGAGUUUUACCGCCAACUGAGAGUUUUACCUCCAUUGAGCUGCUGGAUUUGCCAACUCUA